GACGAACGCUGGCGGCGUGCUUAACACAUGCAAGUCGAACGAUGAAAGAGGAGCUUGCUCCUCUGGAUUAGUGGCGAACGGGUGAGUAACACGUGAGCAAUCUGUCCCUGACUCCGGAAUAACUACGGGAAACUGUAGCUAAUACCGGAUAUGCGCCGAACAGGCAUCUGUAUCGGUGGGAAAGAAUUUCGGUCAGGGAUGAGCUCGCGGCCUAUCAGCUUGUUGGUGAGGUAACGGCUCACCAAGGCGACGACGGGUAGCCGGCCUGAGAGGGUGACCGGCCACAUUGGGACUGAGACACGGCCCAGACUCCUACGGGAGGCAGCAGUGGGGAAUAUUGCACAAUGGGCGCAAGCCUGAUGCAGCAACGCCGCGUGAGGGAUGACGGCCUUCGGGUUGUAAACCUCUUUUAGCAGGGAAGAAGCGAAAGUGACGGUACCUGCAGAAAAAGCGCCGGCUAACUACGUG
rnacentral:rRNA from 1 species